UGAAACAUCUAAGUACCCCGAGGAAAAGAAAUCAACCGAGAUUCCCCCAGUAGCGGCGAGCGAACGGGGAGGAGCCCAGAGCCUGAAUCAGCUUGUGUGUUAGUGGAAGCGUCUGGAAAGUCGCACGGUACAGGGUGAAAGUCCCGUACACGAAAAUGCACAGGCUGUGAGCUCGAUGAGUAGGGCGGGACACGUGGUAUCCUGUCUGAAUAUGGGGGGACCAUCCUCCAAGGCUAAAUACUCCUGACUGACCGAUAGUGAACCAGUACCGUGAGGGAAAGGCGAAAAGAACCCCGGCGAGGGGAGUGAAAAAGAACCUGAAACCGUGUACGUACAAGCAGUGGGAGCCUCUUUAUGGGGUGACUGCGUACCUUUUGUAUAAUGGGUCAGCGACUUAUAUUCUGUAGCAAGGUUAACCGAAUAGGGGAGCCGAAGGGAAACCGAGUCUUAACUGGGCGUUAAGUUGCAGGGUAUAGACCCGAA
rnacentral:rRNA from 1 species